UACAAAAUAAGCAAAAAUAGAGAAGCCACAGUACACCCCAUGGUUUAAUAGCUUGCAGAAGCAUCUUUGGCAGCCAUAACUUUCAGUAUUUGUUUUCAGUAUGACAGUUUUUUGGGUUACUGGAUGCUAAAAACCUUUAAAAACU